CUCAACCUGCCGUGCCCGUGAUGCCGCACCACGCUUUUGAGCCAACACUCAAUGAUCUGGGCGUCGGGUCUGCGGUGACAAGCGAUAGGCGCAAGCCAAGGCUGAAGCACUGAGUGAGACGCCCUACCUGCGAAAGCAGGUUCAAAACGGGCAGCACACGGCAUGGCGGGUACUUU
rnacentral:other from 1 species